rnacentral:rRNA from 1 species
UACGAAGGUGGCAAGCGUUGUUCGGAUUUACUGGGCGUACAGGGAGCGUAGGCGGUUGGGUAAGCCCUCCGUGAAAUCUCCGGGCCUAACCCGGAAAGUGCGGAGGGGACUGCUCGGCUAGAGGAUGGGAGAGGAGCGCGGAAUUCCCGGUGUAGCGGUGAAAUGCGUAGAGAUCGGGAGGAAGGCCGGUGGCGAAGGCGGCGCUCUGGAACAUUUCUGACGCUGAGGCUCGAAAGCGUGGGAGCAAACAGG